UACGGGGGGGGCAAGCGUUGUUCGGAAUUACUGGGCGUAAAGGGCUUGUAGGUGGCCAACUAAGUCAGACGUGAAAUCCCUCGGCUUAACCGGGGAACUGCGUCUGAUACUGGAUGGCUUGAGUGUGGGAGAGGGAUGCGGAAUUCCAGGUGUAGCGGUGAAAUGCGUAGAUAUCUGGAGGAACACCGGUGGCGAAGGCGGCUACCUGGCCCAACAUUGACGCUGAGACCCGAAAGCGUGGGGAUCAAACAGG
rnacentral:rRNA from 1 species